GACGAACGCUGGCGGCGUGCUUAACACAUGCAAGUCGAACGGACAGGCCCUGCUUUUGUGGGGUGCUCGAGUGGCGAACGGGUGAGUAACACGUGAGUAACCUGCCCUUGACUUUGGGAUAACUUCAGGAAACUGGGGCUAAUACCGGAUAGGAGCUCCUGCUGCAUGGUGGGGGUUGGAAAGUUUCGGCGGUUGGGGAUGGACUCGCGGCUUAUCAGCUUGUUUGUGGGGUUGUUGCUUACCAAGGCUUUGACGGGUAGCCGGCCUGGGAGGGUUACCGGCCACAUUGGGACUAAGAUACGGACCAGACUGCUACGGGAGGCAGCAGUGGGGAGUAUUGCGCAAUGGGCCGAAGCCUGAGGCAGCGACGCCGCGUGCGGGAUGACGGGCUUCGGGUGGUAAACCGCUUUCGCCGGUGACGUAGCGUGAGUGACGGUAAUGGGUAAAGAAGCAACGGCUAACUACGUG
rnacentral:rRNA from 1 species